UACAGAGGGUGCGAGCGUUGUCCGGAAUCACUGGGCGUAAAGGGCGCGUAGGCGGCUUGAUAAGCGUGCGGUGAAAGCCCGGGGCUCAACCCCGGGUCGGCCGUGCGAACUGUCGAGCUGGAGCACUGUAGAGGCAGGUGGAAUUCCGGGUGUAGCGGUGGAAUGCGUAGAGAUCCGGAAGAACACCGGGUGGCGAAGGCGGCCUGCUGGGCAGUGGCUGACGCUGAGGCGCGACGAGCGUGGGGAGGCAACAGG
rnacentral:rRNA from 1 species